GAUGAACGCUGGCGGCGUGCCUAAUACAUGCAAGUAGAACGCUGAAGGAGGAGCUUGCUCUUCUGGAUGAGUUGCGAACGGGUGAGUAACGCGUAGGUAACCUGCCUGGUAGCGGGGGAUAACUAUUGGAAACGAUAGCUAAUACCGCAUGACAACAGUUAUUACAUGAUAACUGUUUAAAAGGGGCAACUGCUCCACUACCAGAUGGACCUGCGUUGUAUUAGCUAGUUGGUGAGGUAACGGCUCACCAAGGCGACGAUACAUAGCCGACCUGAGAGGGUGAUCGGCCACACUGGGACUGAGACACGGCCCAGACUCCUACGGGAGGCAGCAGUAGGGAAUCUUCGGCAAUGGACGGAAGUCUGACCGAGCAACGCCGCGUGAGUGAAGAAGGUUUUCGGAUCGUAAAGCUCUGUUGUAAGAGAAGAACGAGUGUGAGAGUGGAAAGUUCACACUGUGACGGUAUCUUACCAGAAAGGGACGGCUAACUACGUG
rnacentral:rRNA from 1 species